GAUGAACGCUGGCGGCGUGCCUAAUACAUGCAAGUCGAGCGAACAGACGCGGUGCUUUCUCCACUGACGUUAGCGGCGGAAGGGUUAGUAACACGUGGAUACCCUACCUAUAAGACUGGGGUAAAUUCGUUUAACCGGAGCUAAUACCGGAUACUAUAUUAAACCGCAUGGCUCAAUAGUUUACGACGGUUUUGCUGCCACUUAUAGAUGGAUCCGCGGCGCAUUAGCUAGUUGGUAAGGUAACAGCUUACCAAGGCAACGAUGCGUAGCCGACCUGAGAGGGUGAUCGGCCACACUGGAACUGAGACACGGUCCAGACUCCUACGGGAGGCAGCAGUAGGGAAUCUUCCGCAAAGGGCGAAAGCCUGACGGAGCAACGCCGCGUGAGGGAUGAAGGUCUUCGGGUCGUAAAACUCUGUUGUUCGGAAAGAAAAAAUGUGUAAGAAACUAUGCACGUCAUGACGGUACCGAAAGAGAAAGCAACGGCUAACUACGUG
rnacentral:rRNA from 1 species